CGCAUCUGUGCAUGCAGCAUAUCAAUAAGCGGAGGAAAAGAAACUAACAAGGAUUCCCCUAGUAACGGCGAGUGAAGCGGGAAGAGCUCAAAUUUGAAAUCUUAAAGGGUUUCCCUUUACGAAUUGUAGUUUAAAGAAGUGUUUUCUGUUGAGGUUUUGGUAAAAGUUCUUUGGAAUAGGACAUCAUAGAGGGUGAGAAUCCCGUAUUUGACCUUUACUUUCAACUCUGUGAUACACUUUCAAAGAGUCGGAUUGUUUGGGAAUGCAGUCCAAAAUGGGUGGUAAAUUUCAUCUAAAGCUAAAUAUUGGCGAGAGACCGAUAGCGAACAAGUACCGUGAGGGAAAGAUGAAAAGAACUUUGAAAAGAGAGUUAAACAGUACGUGAAAUUGUCAAAAGGGAAGCGUUUGACACCAGUGUUGUUUUUUCUGAAAAUCGAUUAAAGAACUGUUUAUGCUAAGCUGUUUAGACUUUAUCAGCUAACUGUUUAGUUUUGAGCUUUUCUUUAAUGCACUUUUCAGUUAACAAGUCAACAUCAAUUUCUUUUGCUGUAAAAAAGCUUGAGGAAGGUGGCUUGAGAUUCGUCUUAAGUGUUUAUAGCCUCUUGCCUAUGCAGUCGGAGAGAUUGAGGUCUGCAGCGUAGAUCCUUCGGGGCUAAAUGCAUUUGUGCUAAGUUAUAGCAUUUUAUAGACAACUUGUUGACUAUGAUUUGUCUUGUAGCUUACUCGCUUAUGUUAUUUUACCUACGCUUAGGAUGUUGAACGCGCACAGAGUCUC
rnacentral:rRNA from 1 species